UCUUGAUCUGAACCAAAAAUUUAAAAUUGAGAAGAAGGUAAAAUUGAAAUGGGACGAACUUUCCAGGCGCUCCAUCAAGAAAAUGGCCAAGAUGACACGGUGUAAACUUUUCCUUAACGUAAGUGUUAUUGUCCCUUUAUCAUUUAAUGCUUAUGUUUUCCAUUUCUUUCUCUGGUCUUCCCACCACCUGGUGGAGG